UUUAAAUCGAUGAAAAGGAAAGUAGUUUUUGCUAUAUUCGAUAGCGAGCUGGGGACGGUGGAAGCCUGGCGAUGCAGCAUAAAUGAAGAACACCUUUGAGUUCUAACCGAAAGAGAUAACUUGAGUAGGCUUAGACGUUUCCAGCACGUUAUAGACUGGGAUAGCAGUAGUAAAGUUGGUCAUUUUAUGACAAUUUGGGUGGUACCGCGGAAGUUCAGCCUUUCGUCCCUAUU
rnacentral:ncRNA from 1 species